ACUUCCUAAGCCGGAACGAAAAGUUUCAAAGUUUUGCUACUUUGGAGCUUUUGGCUUUGUGGUUGUGAUGUUGUGUUUGCAAGUUGUCUAGUAAUACUAGACUUUGUAGCUAUGCUACUGUUUUUUUUCACUUCCUGUACAUUUACCCUGUCUGUCCAUAGUGAUUUUUUAAUACACCGCUUCGGCGGUGUUUUUUUUU
rfam:Moellerella wisconsensis ATCC 35017 Sequence00002, whole genome shotgun sequence.